rnacentral:sRNA from 1 species
GUAUUUUGCUGUCCUUACAGAACAUGCAGUAAAUAAUAGUGUAAUCCUUGCUGAUGAAAUGGGCCUAGGAAAGACCAUCCAGACCAUAUCAUUCCUCUCCUACCUGUUCCACCAACACCAGCUGUAUGGCCCCUUUCUUAUAGUCGUCCCUUUAUCCACCCUCACCUCAUGGCAGAGAGAGUUUGAAAUCUGGGCACCAGAGAUUAACGUAGUGGUUUACAUAGGUGACCUGAUGAGCAGAAAUACGAUACGGGAAUAUGAAUGGAUUCAUUCCCAAACCAAAAGAUUGAAGUUCAACGCACUUAUAACAACAUAUGAGAUCCUCUUGAAAGAUAAGACUGUGCUGGGCAGUAUUAACUGGGCCUUUCUGGGAGUGGAUGAAGCCCAUCGGUUGAAGAAUGAUGACUCUUUAUUGUAUAAAACUCUGAUUGAUUUCAAGUCCAACCAUAGGCUCCUGAUUACGGGGACCCCUCUUCAGAAUUCCCUCAAAGAGCUCUGGUCCUUGCUGCACUUUAUUAUGCCGGAGAAGUUUGAAUUUUGGGAAG